UACAGAGACUGCAAGCGUUAUUCGGAUUCACUGGGCGUAAAGGGUGCGCAGGCGGCCGUGUGUGUCAGGUGUGAAAUCCCGGGGCUUAACCCCGGAACUGCGCCUGAAACUACAUGGCUAGAGUAUUGGAGAGGGUAGCGGAAUUCACGGUGUAGCAGUGAAAUGCGUAGAUAUCGUGAGGAACACCAGAGGCGAAGGCGGCUACCUGGACAAUUACUGACGCUCAGGCACGAAAGCGUGGGGAGCAAAAGGG
rnacentral:rRNA from 1 species